GAUGAACGCUGGCGGCGUGCCUAAUACAUGCAAGUCGAACGAGAUAAUUUAUUAUCUAGUGGCGAACGGGUGAGUAAUACAUAAGUAACCUGCCCUAGACAGGGGGAGUAACUAUUGGAAACGAUAGCUAAGACCGCAUAGGUAUAUAUGUCACAUGGCAAAUAAUAUUAAAAAUAGCUUCAAAGCAUUGGUAGAGGAUGGACUUAUGGCGCAUUAGCUAGUUGGUGAGGUAACGGCCCACCAAGGCGACGAUGCGUAGCCGACCUGAGAGGGUGAACGGCCACACUGGGACUGAGACACGGCCCA
rnacentral:rRNA from 1 species